AGGAAUGGAACUUCCUUUUCACUCUGAUUACAGCCUGCUACACUUCUCUUUUCACACUCACUAUAAUACAGUGAAUGCUCACAGUAAUCAGCUCUCUUUCAUAUGGGUUCUGCCUUUCACUGAACAUGUGGUUUCCAGUUGAUCAUAGAACAGGCACUGAACAGAAAUAAAAACUGGAGUGUGCAGGAUCAGUGGUUGGCAUCCAGGGGCAGGUUCGGUUCAUUAUCACAGAGACAACCUCAGAGACUUUGGCGUUCUGGGUGAAGGAAGAAAGAAGAGAAUAUACAUGGAAAUCCAGGGUGUAGAUACUGCUCAUCAACAUAAGGCAAAUUCUUCCUGCGCCUCUCAAUACAGAGGAGGCGAGAACUCACAGAAUCACAGAAUUAGAGCACUGGCUUUGGCAUGAGAACACCGACCCCUUCUGUCAAGUUUUGACAGGGCCCAUGGAUGACCAGCAAGAGCCUCCUUUUAGUUAUAGGUGAUCAUGUGCCCAAGUUCUCACCAACGCGAUGCAAGUAGAAGUGACCUGCAAAACUUCCCUGUUGCAUUACAUCCUUAAAAUAAAUUUGAUUAAGUUCUU